AUGGUCUCCACGAACCCGCCGCCGCCGCUGUCCGAGGCGGCCGCCGCCGCGUCGAGCGACGACGCCAGCAAGAAGGUGCGGAAGCCCUACACCAUCACCAAGUCGCGCGAGAGCUGGACGGAGCAGGAGCACGACAAGUUCCUCGAGGCCCUGCAGCUCUUUGAUCGUGACUGGAAAAAGAUAGAAGCUUUUGUUGGUUCGAAGACUGUCAUCCAGAUAAGGAGCCAUGCACAGAAGUAUUUUUUGAAGGUUCAGAAAAAUGGAACCAGCGAACAUGUCCCACCUCCACGACCAAAGCGUAAAGCUGCCCACCCAUACCCUCAGAAGGCCUCCAAAAAUGAGUCAGGAUAUGCCCUGAAGACAGAUCCAUCUGCCAUGCUUAGAAAUUCAGGAAUGAACGUGGCUGUUUCUCCAUGGACCCACAAUUCUAUCCCACCAGUUGUUGCCUCAUCUUUCAUGAAAGAUUUAGGUGCUGGGUCUAUGGGUCCAAACAUUUUUUGCUCAAGCAGUAGUGAAGGCCCUCCAAGGGCAUGGCAAUCUGGUGAAACCAAUGACCAGAUAAAUCAAGUUCCGUCACUCCGCAUUAUGCCAGAUUUUGCUCAAGUAUACAGCUUCUUAGGCAGUGUUUUCGAUCCAAGCACAAAGGGCCAUUUGCAGAAACUGAAGGAGAUGAAUCCAAUUGAUGUUGAAACGGCACUGUUGUUGAUGAGAAAUCUCUCCAUCAACUUGACCAGUCCUGAUUUUGAAGAUCAAGCAGUCAGUUUCAGAUGUUUAACUCCUUAUUUGGUCAGUAGCAGAAGUUAUUUCUUUCCUAUAAAGAAACUGCAGAGGAUUUCAACAGCAUGCUCGUGUCUUCUUGAACUUGGGUGUCUCUUCACACACUGUGCUUCUAGCAGGGUUUGCCCAAUUGCCAUGGUUUCUGCCUUUCUGAGGAAGUUGCUGUCUUCGUACAAUUCCACCUCUGAUGGGCUAGAGCUAGGGAGCUCCAGAAGCUCACUUCUUACGGAUAAUGCAUUGAGCCUUUUUUGA
rnacentral:rRNA from 1 species